rnacentral:rRNA from 1 species
UACGUAGGGGGCAAGCGUUGUCCGGAUUUAUUGGGCGUAAAGAGCGUGUAGGCGGCCUUACAGGUCAGCUGUGAAAACUCGAGGCUCAACCUCGAGACGUCGGUUGAAACCGUAUGGCUAGAGUCCGGAAGAGGAGAGUGGAAUUCCCGGUGUAGCGGUGAAAUACGCAGAUAUCGGGAAGAACACCCGUGGCGAAGGCGGCUCUCUGGGACGGUACUGACGCUGAGACGCGAAAGCGUGGGGAGCGAACAGG